rnacentral:rRNA from 5 species
UUUGACCUCAAAUCAGGUAGGACUACCCGCUGA